rnacentral:lncRNA from 1 species
AAGCAUCCGCAGAUUCUUGUUGAUACAUUAGAACUUACAAAGUUUUUAAUAUACUUGACAGAUCAAAAUAGUAGGAAACUAAAUUAACACUGCAUUCCUAACAACAAUAAAUAGCAAGCAAGAAGCAUUAAAAGAAAACAGAGAGCAGCAUGAGCACGCAACAUAAAAAAUUGGGUCACCUUAAGAUCAAGAACCAGUGGCACUCUCUUCAUUCAGAUUAAGAAAGAAAACAUAGAGCAGCAUGAGCACGCAACAUAAAAAAAUUUGGUUAACCUUAAGAUCAAGAACCAGUGGCCCUCUCCAUUCAGAUAAAAAAGAAAGAACCACCGUAAACAUCCUAAGCCGCAAUGGAGGCACACACCAACUCCUGCAUACAAAACAUGAAGUGACUUUUAGCUUCAUAGAUAAUAGUCUAUGAAGGGUCUUUUACUAAAUGCAGUACCCUAUGCCUUUAGUAUCUCAACCAGAACCAAAACACAAACAAAUGGUCAACUAGGAGAAUGGUCUACCAACACGAUGAACCAAAUUAUCUCAUAGAUGAUACCAUAACUUCAUCAGGAUCCAAAAAUAUGUCGUAAAAACAUAGGGCACUAUGGCCAAUGUAGAUAAGAAGACGUUGUCGCAGUGGAGAAGCAGAGACAGGGGGUCUAGGUCAUAGGGGGAAGCGCUCACCCGAGGAGCAGGACAAUACUGUACAUAUGUCACCCAGAAAAAUAUAAUCCAAUGUACUGAAAAAUAUAUAAGCACCUUGACGAUACUAUACAUAUGUCAACCAGAAAAUAAAAGGCUUACUAUACAUAUACAUAUGUCGUCGAAUUUCCAUAAAUUCUAAUAAAUAAUCUUCAGCUAAGAAUAGAGUUGGCAGCAACCAAAAUUAUAGAAAUAAUCAAGCAUAAACCUAAGAAUAGGUCACAAAGUUACAUAGUGCUCAAGGGAUGUUCAUCCCACUACUUUUGCAGCCUAAGACCAGUUUCUAUAGUCUACACUCCUCCACUUGUUGCCUAUUCCAGCAAGUAGAUGGCCUGAGGCCUGAAUAAUGAAUCUAUGUAACUAAAAAGACAGAGCAUUCACAUGAUAGUUCCAUGGAUCAAGAGGCCUCUAAUCCAAGAAUAUAAAAGAGGAAAACUAUACAAUAAAUGCGUUUAAAGCCAGGAGAACUGAUAUUUCGAUCACACACUAUAUCACAAAUUGAGAUCAUAUAACCACCAUUAGCAAAUCAUACUUGAGAUCACGUCAAAUAUUUCAGUCAUAAAUAUUUUUAAUAUCAGGUUUUGAGGAUGACAAUAGCCUAAUAAUCAAAGUCUAGAGUUUGUUGCCAUACCUUUGUGUUCCCACACAUCCUAGUGUUCCAGAUGCACUAAAUUGCAGAACAUUAACUCAAAGUACCUUGCACUAUUAUUCAGAAUAUGACCCUGGAGCAAUCAUAUGCAUGGAUGUUAGAGCUGGUAUGGCAUGAUAUCCAAGCAGCAAACUAACUCAAAUAGCAACAAAUAAAG